rnacentral:rRNA from 1 species
CAGUCGCCGCGGUAAUACGAAGGGGGCUAGCGUUACUCGGAAUUACUGGGCGUAAAGGGCGCGUAGGCGGCACGAUUAGUCAGGCGUGAAAUUCCUGGGCUCAACCUGGGGACUGCGCUUGAUACGGUCGAGCUAGAGGAUGGAAGAGGGUCGUGGAAUUCCCAGUGUAGAGGUGAAAUUCGUAGAUAUUGGGAAGAACACCGGUGGCGAAGGCGGCGACCUGGUCCAUUACUGACGCUGAGGCGCGACAGCGUGGGGAGCAAACAGGAUUAGAUACCCCUGUAGUCCCUGUCUCUUAUAC